AUACGGAGGGUGCAAGCGUUAUUCGGAAUCACUGGGCGUAAAGGACGCGUAGGCGGGUUGGCAAGUCAGAUGUGAAAUCCUACAGCUUAACUGUAGAACUGCAUUUGAAACUGCUAACCUAGAGUAUGGGAGGGGGAGAUGGAAUUAGUGGUGUAGGGGUAAAAUUCGUAGAUAUCGCUAGGAAUACCGAAAGCGAAGGCGAUCUCCUGGAACAUAACUGACGCUAAGGCGUGAAAGCGUGGGGAGCAAACAGGAUUAGAAACCCCAGUAGUCC
rnacentral:rRNA from 1 species